AGCGAACGCUGGCGGCAGGCCUAACACAUGCAAGUCGAACGAACUCUUCGGAGUUAGUGGCGGACGGGUGAGUAACACGUGGGAACGUGCCUUUAGGUUCGGAAUAACUCAGGGAAACUUGUGCUAAUACCGAAUGUGCCCUUCGGGGGAAAGAUUUAUCGCCUUUAGAGCGGCCCGCGUCUGAUUAGCUAGUUGGUGAGGUAAAGGCUCACCAAGGCGACGAUCAGUAGCUGGUCUGAGAGGAUGAUCAGCCACAUUGGGACUGAGACACGGCCCAAACUCCUACGGGAGGCAGCAGUGGGGAAUCUUGCGCAAUGGGCGAAAGCCUGACGCAGCCAUGCCGCGUGUAUGAUGAAGGUCUUAGGAUUGUAAAAUUCUUUCACCGGGGACGAUAAUGGCGGUACCCGGAGAAGAAGCCCCGGCUAACUUCGUG
rnacentral:rRNA from 1 species